CAGAACCGGAUUCGCCAGAUUUCCUGGUCUCAGACGCGCUUUAACCCUCUCAGACCCGGGGCUGCAGGAGAGGGCGCCACGGGCCGCUUCCCCCGCGCGCCGCCAGGGGACGACGGAGUGCAAUGGACCCAGCGCAGCCUGGAACCGGGGCUCCACCUGAGCACGACGUCAUCAGGCGGUCAGGUCUGGCCCCCACCACUAUCUUCUUCCCACUCUUGUCGCCUGGACUUCCCUAAAACAAAAGCCAGUCCGUCGCGACACUGCCAACAUUGCGCACAGAAAAGCAGCUAAACACGGGACCUGCGUGAUCCUGCCCAGCCCAAUUCCAGGCCAUCUUCCGCGAACACCCGGGUGAAGGCAGGAGACAGCGCAGAAUUCAGGCUCCGCCCUCGUGCGGCCUCACCACCUGGCUCACGCAUCUGUUGUAAGGAGUAAAUGGAUUAAUGCAUAAAGAGUGCU